rnacentral:rRNA from 1 species
GAUGAACGCUGGCGGUAUGCUUAACACAUGCAAGUCGAACGGACUCUUCGGAGUUAGUGGCGGACGGGUGAGUAACGCGUGAGAAUCUGGCUUUGGGUUCGGGACAACCACUGGAAACGGUGGCUAAUACCGGAUGUGCCGAGAGGUAAAAGAGAAAUUGCCUGAAGAUGAGCUCGCGUCUGAUUAGCUAGUUGGUGAGGUAAAGGCUCACCAAGGCAGCGAUCAGUAGCCGGUCUGAGAGGAUGACCAGCCACACUGGGACUGAGACACGGCCCAGACUCCUACGGGAGGCAGCAGUGGGGAAUUUUCCGCAAUGGGCGAAAGCCUGACGGAGCAAUACCGCGUGAGGGAAGAAGGCUCUUGGGUUGUAAACCUCUUUUCUUAGGGAAGAACAAAAUGACGGUAUCUAAGGAAUCAGCAUCGGCUAACUCCGUG